AGGGUCAGGUUUGGUCAGAGGUGUUUCAGUGUAGAGGCAACGAAUCUCAGAUUCACUUCUGUCCAACAUCAUCUUCACUCAAACACAACUGCUCCCAUGACAGUGAUGUGGGACUGGUGUGUUCUGAUGGUGUACGUUUGGUAAAUGGAAGCAGUCGCUGUGCUGGGAGAGUGGAGGUUCUUCAUAGAGGACAUUGGGGAACAGUGUGUGAUGAUGGCUGGGAUAUGAGAGAUGCUGCAGUGGUGUGUAGAGAGCUGCGCUGUGGAGAAGCUGUAGAUGCACUGAGUGAUGCUCACUUUGGACCAGGAUCAGGACCAAUCUGGAUGGAUAAUGUGGACUGUAGUGGAUCAGAGACUACACUGAAGAACUGUAGAUCAAGAGGAUGGGGUAAACAUGAUUGUGAUCACAGUAAGGAUGUCGGAGUCAUCUGUUCAGAAGUCAGGCUGGUUGGUGAUUCUCACUGCUCUGGGAGAGUGGAGGUGCUUCAUGGAGAGACCUGGUCCACAGUGUGUGAUGCUGACUUUGACCAGCAGGAUGCAGAGGUUGUGUGUCGAGAGCUGGG